rnacentral:rRNA from 1 species
CCUACGGGCGGCUGCAGUGGGGAAUAUUGGACAAUGGGGGCAACCCUGAUCCAGCCAUGCCGCGUGUGUGAAGAAGGCCCUCGGGUUGUAAAGCACUUUCAGUGAGGAAGAACGCCUGGUGGUUAAUACCCAUCAGGAAAGACAUCACUCACAGAAGAAGCACCGGCUAACUCCGUGCCAGCAGCCGCGGUAAUACGGAGGGUGCGAGCGUUAAUCGGAAUUACUGGGCGUAAAGCGCGCGUAGGUGGCUUGAUAAGCCGGUUGUGAAAGCCCCGGGCUCAACCUGGGAACGGCAUCCGGAACUGUCAAGCUAGAGUGCAGGAGAGGAAGGUAGAAUUCCCGGUGUAGCGGUGAAAUGCGUAGAGAUCGGGAGGAAUACCAGUGGCGAAGGCGGCCUUCUGGACUGACACUGACGCUGAGGUGCGAAAGCGUGGGUAGCAAACAGGAUUAGAUACCCUUGUAGUC